CCUACGGGGGGCAGCAGUGGGGAAUAUUGGGCAAUGGAGGCAACUCUGACCCAGCAACGCCGUGUGAGUGAAGAAGUAUUUCGGUACGUAAAGCUCUAUCAGCAGGAAAGAAAAUGACGGUACCUGACUAAGAAGCCCCGGCUAACUACGUGCCAGCAGCCGCGGUAAUACGUAGGGGGCAAGCGUUAUCCGGAUUUACUGGGUGUAAAGGGAGCGUAGACGGCAGCGCAAGUCUGGAGUGAAAUGCCGGGGCCCAACCCCGGAACUGCUCUGGAAACUGUGAAGCUGGAGUGCAGGAGAGGUAAGCGGAAUUCCUGGUGUAGCGGUGAAAUGCAUAGAUAUCAGGAGGAACACCGGCGGCGAAGGCGGCUUACUGGGCUUUUACUGACGCUGAGGCUCGAAAGCGUGGGGAGCAAACAGGAUUAGAUACCCUUGUAGUC
rnacentral:rRNA from 1 species